UACGUACUCCCUCCGUCCGGAAAAGCUUGUCCCUCAAAUGGAUGUAUCUAGCACAAAAUUUGGUGCUAGAUACAUCCAUUCGAAGGACAAGCUUGGGACAAGCUUUUACGGACGGAGGGAGUAAUAC
rfam:Triticum aestivum genome assembly, contig: Triticum_aestivum_CS42_TGACv1_scaffold_290631_4AL